rnacentral:lncRNA from 1 species
AUGCCACAGCUGGAAUCCCCCACAUUCCUCCCUGCCGGGGCUGCCCACCUGGCUGCAGCUGGCAGCAGGUGUGUUCUUACAAUGCAGUUACACAAACACACACAAGGCCUCACAAAGUCUUAUACAUCUUUUGGGUCACGGUCACAGGUGCUCUCAAAAUCAGCCAUAGAAAUGGCACACACAAAGUCACAAAAAGAUACGCAGACCACACACACCCAGAGACACUCAGACACACAAGAUCAUCCACGAUCACACCCAGUUAUGUCACACCGAUACCCAAAGACACACACAGGCAUUCCCAAUGCACUAGUGGGACACUUAGGCCAGUCCGCAGCUGCACACAAAGUUCCCACAGACACACACUCACAAGUGCCCUGGCAGCUCAGCCUUGCAGGGCCGAGGACAGGCAGGCGGCGGGGCUUCCUGUGGCUACUGCUCAUCUGGAGGCAAGAGAAGGAGCUGGGGAAACAUUUCAUUUGCAGCCGGCUGGAGACCCACCCCACCCUCCCUGGAAACCUGGCCCCGGCUCCUGAAUGGGGCCUCUGUAUGCCGCCACCGCCCAGCUGACCAGGGUGUGGGGAUCAGGGGGGUGAGGCCGGCCACACGGAGUCCCUGGCUGAGCUUCAGAAGCCACCCAGCCACAUGCCAGGGCCCUAGCUAGAGUCCCCCAGACCCAAGGAGUCCUCUUCCCCCCUCCCCCCACCACAUCUGGAGGCCACUCCCCAAACCCAGGCUGCACAGGAAGGCAGAGGGGCAAGACAGGGCCCCAGCUGGUGCUGGAUCUCCAGGUGUCCCAUCUCAGGCCUAAGGAUGUCCUCAGACUGGGCAGCCACCAGUCCCCAUGCCAUAAGGCCUCUCAGUCCAGCACAAAGACAUGACACCAUGGCUAUAUGUGACAGCAUAGCUGAGGAUGUAACAGUGUAGCUGUCUGUGACAGUGUAGCUGGGCUCCCAGUGCAGCCUAGGGGUGGGGAUGGGGCAGUCAUAGCCCCUUGGCUCUUGUCAUCACACACUCACUAUCACACACAUAGUGUCACCAUCACACCUUCCAUCACACAGCCACACACAGCCACACUAUCUCAUCUUCAGCCAUACUGUAACACACAACCACACUGUCACACAUGCUGUCACACACAGCCAGGCUGUCACAUCUUCAGCCAGACACAGAGCCACACUGUCAUACCUUCAACCAGCAACACUGUCUGUCACACCCUCAGCCAUGCCGUCACACACAGAAAUACUGUCACAGCCUCCAUGAUUCUGGUCACAUGUACCUUCAACCACGCUGUCUCACACAUCCUCACACUGGGUGCCCCUGCAGCUCUGCUAGCCACAUGGCCACAUGGAGUCACUACCUGACUGGUCACAAGGAGGGGAAGCAGAUCUGAUCACUUCAUCCCCAGGGUGUAGCAUGCACCUGCCCUGCAAGCAAUGUUUAAACCAACCAGUUGCAACAAUACUGCAACAACACACCCUGAUUGUCACAGAGCAGGUAGCCAGCAGGUACAGGCCACUGCCGAAUUGCUCACAGACAUUCUGAUAACAUGUACUUAGGAUCCCACUGUUGAAGGUAACAGGCACACAUCUCAUACUGCUGUACAAUGCCCAGUCCUUGGGCAGAGGUACAAAGAAGCAGUGGGUGACAGCCACAGCAUGGUUAUAAGACAUCCUGUCACUCUCCCCAGUGCCUGUCACAGGAUUGAGACAGCCCCUUAGCCAUCCCAACAAGCAGCCUGGCACACUGACAUGAUAGACACUAAGAAGUCCUCCAGCCCCCCAAAUCAUGGAGAUGGGGAGAGGCCUGCACUGCUACCUCCCUUUCCCCACUUCAGUUGGUGCCUGGAGAGCAGGGGGGCUAAUGGAUGCGCAGCUGUAGGCAGUGGGUGCCAGCCCCCCACCUCAUGAAUAUUCAUCAGCUGGGGCUCUCGUGAACCUGUGGGGAGUCCGAGGUCCCAGGCAGCUGGGCACCCCCUUCUAUGCCAGGAGGCCCUCAGGUGAGAGGGAGCUCAGCCGAGUCCUGGCAAUCUUUGGAACCCACACCCAGUUACAAACAUAAGCACACAUGUUUGUGAACAUGGACCCCCAGACACACAAAGAACCAUCACACAAACUCACAAUCACACCCUAAAACAGGACCAUCCACCAUCACACACACAGUCAUAGACACGCACACCAGGUAUCCAAACACACUAUCACAUGAACUCACAAUCACAAACACAUAAUCACACUCAAACCACAGACACUCACCGUCUCUGUCUCUCUCACAUCCACCCCUCAGGCAUGCACACACGGACACACGCAGUCACGCAAAUUCACAAGCACACAAUCACAUCCAAACCACAGAUGCCUACCACACAUGCACACACACAGAGCAUACAAACACAGUCACAGGACUGCAAACACAUAGGUACAUCAUCACACCCAAACCACACACUCACCAUCACACACAGGCAUGAAAAUACACACACACACACACACACACACACACACACACACACAGAAACACACAAGAUCUCUCUCUCUCUGCCCACCCCCUGACGUUUUCCAGAAGGGGAAACUGAGAUACUGAGUAGCUGAAGGCUCCUUGAAGGAGG